rnacentral:tRNA from 1 species
GGGAUAGCUCAGUUGGUAGAGCAGAGGACUGA